AUACGUUGCGCAUCGCCGGGGUCCGCCCACGGCGGUGUGGCGCGGUUACUUCAACCCUUUGUGAACCACAACUCUGUUGCUUCGGGGGCGACCCCGCCGUUUCGGCGGUGGUGCCCCCGGUGGCCUACCAUUAAACUCUGCAUCUCUUUGCGUCGGAGUCUUGAAUAGAAUUCAAACAAAACUUUCAACAACGGAUCUCUUGGUUCUGGCAUCGAUGAAGAACGCAGCGAAAUGCGAUAAGUAAUGUGAAUUGCAGAAUUCAGUGAAUCAUCGAAUCUUUGAACGCACAUUGCGCCCCGUGGUAUUCCGCGGGGCAUGCCUGUUCGAGCGUCAUUUCACCACUCAAGCCUGGCUUGGUAUUGGGCGCCGCGGUCGCUAGACCGCGCGCCUUAAAGUCUCCGGCUGAGCAGUCCGUCUCCGAGCGUUGUGACACAUGUCGCUAGGGAGUACGGGUCUGCCGCGGCCGUUAAAUCUUUUAACAGGUUGACCUCGGAUCAGGUAGGGAUACCCGCUGAACUUAAGCAUAUCAAUAAGCGGAGGAAAAGAAACCAACAGGGAUUGCCCUAGUAACGGCGAGUGAAGCGGCAACAGCUCAAAUUUGAAAUCUGGCGUAAGCCCGAGUUGUAAUUUGUAGAGGAUGCUUCUGGGCAGCGGCCGUUCUAAGUUCCUUGGAACAGGACGUCAUAGAGGGUGAGAAUCCCGUAUGUGACCGGCACGUACCCUCCACGUAGCUCCUUCGACGAGUCGAGUUGUUUGGGAAUGCAGCUCUAAAUGGGAGGUAAAUUUCUUCUAAAGCUAAAUACCGGCCAGAGACCGAUAGCGCACAAGUAGAGUGAUCGAAAGAUGAAAAGCACUUUGGAAAGAGAGUUAAAAAGCACGUGAAAUUGUUGAAAGGGAAGCGCUUACAACCAGACUUCGUGGCGGUGUUCCGCCGGUCUUCUGACCGGUUCACUCGCCGCCGCGAGGCCAGCAUCGUCUGGGACCGCCGGAUAAGACCGUGAGAAUGUAGCUCCCCUCGGGGAGUGUUAUAGCUCGCGGUGAUGCGGCGUGUCUCGGGCGAGGUCCGCGCUC
rnacentral:rRNA from 1 species